UACGUAGGGCGCAAGCGUUAUCCGGAAUUAUUGGGCGUAAAGAGCUCGUAGGCGGUUUGUCGCGUCUGCCGUGAAAGUCCGGGCUCAACUCCGGAUCUGCGGUGGGUACGGGCAGACUAGAGUGAUGUAGGGGAGACUGGAAUUCCUGGUGUAGCGGUGAAAUGCGCAGAUAUCAGGAGGAACACCGAUGGCGAAGGCAGGUCUCUGGGCAUUAACUGACGCUGAGAAGCGAAAGCAUGGGGAGCGAACAGG
rnacentral:rRNA from 1 species